CAGGGGUGGUGGUGGGGCUUCCUGGAGUGCUGCUCGGCACCCGGCUUCCCUCGCGGCGGGGCGGAGGUCGCAGCUCCCCGGCGGAUUCCGGUGUGCCCGCUCCCGCGGAUGCUUGGGCCUGGGAGGUGGAGGAGAGCAGAGGGGCCCAGACCGCGAGAUCGACGGGACGCCAAGCGCAGUGCUGUCCCUUCCCGCCUGGGGGCGCGAGCGUGGGGAGCUGCUCAGCCCAAAGACACUACAGAGAUCAGCUGGGAGGAUAACUCUGCACACUGGACGCAGCCCGGGAGCACGGGUACAAGUAGCUGGCCAGGAAACAGAAGUGUUGUUUGUCCAAAAGUCCAUUCACACCCUGGAAUGGCCUGGACAUCCUGGUCUUGUUUCCUGCCAGCCUGGAAACUAACAGAAGUGAAUGUUGACCGACUGCUUCCUUGGCUGCACACAUUUGCUGUACAUAAUGAUGACAUUCAUCAUAAUAAAAGAGCUAUUUUAAGUUGAUCCACAUACUACAGCUAAACUGAACUUGGAGGAGCUCCUUCGCUAUCUUUGGCAUGUGUCUCUUGGAAAGCGCCUCCUCCUCAAGACUGCGGGAAGGAAGACUCCGCUGGGGAUGGGAGAGGGAGACCGAGUGGCUGUGCUCCUGGAGUCCGUGUCGGCACACUGAGCAGUCCUGUCAGGAACAGCAAAGCAGACUCAGAACCACAGCAGGGACCAGGUGAGGUGUGCUUGGAUGUUAUAGUUGAUGAUACACAGGCACAUUUUUUUUAAGUUCUUGAAUUUGCUUAUUUAAUGGCUUCACUGAACAUUCUUA
rnacentral:lncRNA from 1 species